rnacentral:rRNA from 1 species
AGCACGUAGGUGGGUUUGUAAGUCAGACGUGAAAGCCUUCUGUUCAAAGGAAGAAUUGCAUUUGAAACUUCCAACCUUGAGUGUAGGAGGGGAGAAUGGAACUUCUGGUGGAGCGGUGAAAUGCGUAGAUAUCCGAAGGAACGCCGGCGGCGAAAGCGAUUUUUUGGCCUAUUACUGACACUCAGUGUGCGAAAGUUAGGGGAGCAAACGGGAUUAGAUACCCCGGUA